CAACAGGCCUUUAAUUGGCAAGUGUGUACUAUUUUAUCAUAUAGUAAACGAUGAUAAAAUUUAAAAUAAUCUUCAAUGAGUAAUAGUAAGUACUGUGUGUGCCGCAGCCACUGACGUGUUUUCAAGCUAACUCUUUGAAAAAUGUGGGGCAGAAAAACUGUUGUUGUCCCUUGUAAACUUAGAAUUUCUAUGUUUGUAUUUAAUUUUUUUUUCAUUUGUGGUAACUGAAGCAAAAGCUUUUCCAUAACUAAGAAAACACAUGUAUCGGUAGCUGUGUAUUCUGAAAAGUAAAACAUCAUAAAAAAUACUUAUGCAUGAGUAAAGUAUUGUGGAAUAGAAAAAAAAGUUUGUUGAAAAUUUUUACAUUUUUUCUUUUCUUGAACAUUAGUUGCUGACAGGGAUGACUUACAGCUAAUUUUUAUCUUUUUGAGAAAGGCUUUUGCUAUUCAGACUAUGCUGUUCUUAAACUUGACUCUCAAACUUUGCAUCCUCCUGCCUCAGCCUCCUGAGUGCUGGGAUUACAGGCCUAUAUCAUCAUGUCUGUUUUUUUACUUUUAACUCUAAAGAUUUAUUUGAAUAUGACAGAGGCAUUAGUUUAUUUCUAUUGCACUCCUUUUGUUCCUUUUGUGAGUGCUGUUGGGGUUGUCCCUGCAGCCACUGGCACCCUUUCCUCAAUUGGGCACUUCUGAAAUCACAGUGGAGUGGAGCCAGCUCCGUGUACCCAGCCUGUGAACCUCGCUGCAGAGAGAAGCUCUGUUUUCUGCAGCCUAAUAGCUUAGCUCCCCUUUUUUCCAUGUCUUUGUCCAGCUUGUGGCACCUAUGAGCACCUAUGAACAUGAUCUUAUAGAACUGAAUUAAAUAACUGAACUUUCCUCUGGGCUGAGAACAUCAGUGCUGUUGGACCACAUGGACUGAUGUCAAAGCUGUUCAUUUAGCUGUUUCCUUGUACUCUGUAGAUUUAGAAAAACUUGUCUUAUUAAAUAGAAAAUACAUAAUAUCUAAUUCAAAAACAUCUACCAGUACUUGUGGCAAACAUCAAAAGGAUUUAUAGCCAGAAAAUGUCCUGAGCAAUGUAUGUCUCUUUACCAUGUGAUUUGCGGAUUGGGAAAGAGGGUGGAUGAGAAGAAUUUUCGUCUUUCCUGCAGGGUCAGCUUGUCAGGGUGAUUUCAUUAUAUCAUAUGAAAUACUAUGAGCUUUUUUUUUUUCCUUCCCACUCCCAAGAACACUUAAUAGAAUGGAGUAGUUUGAAUUACAGUAAAAAUUCAAAUGAAAUGCAUGAAGUUAAGAACCACAAG
rnacentral:lncRNA from 1 species